CCAGGGUUGGGCAACAAUGUUGGGGGUACUGGAGGACCAGGAUUGGGCAACAAUGUUGGGGCUACUGGAGGACCAGGGUUGGCUGUUGGGGCUACUGGAGGACCAGGGUUGGGCUGUUGGGGCUACUGGAGAACCAGGGUUGGGCAACAAUGUUGGGGGUACUGGAGGACCAGGGUUGGGCUGUUGAAGGUACUGGAGGACCAGGGUUAGGAAACACUGUUGGGGCUACUGGAGGACCAGAGUUGGGAAACACUGCUCUACCCAAUAGCCCUGGCCUGCCCGAAAUACCAUUCCACAUUACAGGUUCAACUAAACGUGGCCUAGAUUGAAAGGGAUGGAGGGAUUGGAGGAGGUGAAGACAUUGAUGAAUACACAAAGUUUCUUGCAUAGUGGGGUGUUUGUCCUACUCACCUCAGGAUUGAUUUGGAUGGGAUGUUGUAUCAACAUGGAUCAGAAUUUAUGACACAACAAAAGUUCACAUUGAAAACUUUGACAAAAACCUAGGCGACUUUCCAUUGUGGAGCCUGCAAUAAGAUGCAACUCUGAACUCUUGGGAAAACAGCGCCGCCCAGUGGAUGGGAGGCUUAUUGGAUUCUCCACAUUGACCCCUGUCAAGCUUUCCAUUUAAAACAGGACCUAUUGCUAUUUGAACUGAAUGGAGGCCGGGAUUAAAUUUAAAAGGUGCGUUGUCGAAGUGUACUGCACUUGACUUUAAAAGGUCAUUUUAAGCUUGAGCUGUCAUCUGUAGAGUUCACCAUGAAUGCCAUCUUCGAACGUCAGGGUAACGGCCUUUUAAAAGACUCAUUGUCAACAGUGCAGUGCCUUAUGAACAGCACGCCUUUGAUUGAAUCCAGGACAGAGUAUGUCAGAUUAAUUUUUAACACUGUAUUUUUACUUUUUGUCUAACUGAUAUCAUCUGUAGAUGAUAUUUCACCCAGGUCAUAUUUUUGUUGUUUUAUUUGGCUUGGGGGACUGGAUUUUCCACCAAACAGUUUCUAUAGUAAACAGAAUUUUUUUGGUUUUAAGUUAAGACUUUAUUACAAUUUAAUUUUAAUAUUCUGCAACUCCUGAUUUAUUCCAUCCAUGAAACAUACACGCAAAGGAGAGACAAGAUUCUGAUACAAUGAAUACAGUUGUGACGAGGCUAGGGUACGCGGUUCAAGGCUCAGUUGUGACGAGGCUAGGGUACGCGGUUCAAGGCUCAGUUGUGACGAGGCUAGGGUACGCGGUUCAAGGCUCAGUUGUGACGAGGCUAGGGUACGCGGUUCAAGGCUCAGUUUUGACGAGGCUAGGGUACGCGGUUCAAGGCUCAGUUGUGACGAGGCUAGGCUAGGGUACUAGCUAAAAGCAGUGCCUUGUUCUUUACUCCAUUUUCUAAUGUCAAAAUGUGUGUUCUGAUCUGAAGCGAUUAUCAGUGAGAAUAGCCUUUAAUCUCACCACUCAGUACCGUGGAUAGGACUUUUGCAGCUUCAGCAUAUCUCACCAUGUUUUUUUGUUGUUGCAUUGAGCAAAGGAUACUUCUAAAAUGCCGUGGAGGCAUUCUAUUUACAUUAGUCAAAGCCCUGGGGGGGAAAAAAAGAUGUACAGCUUUUUGAGUUUGUAAAACAAAAAUGUUAUUCGCCUACAGUUUGUUUGUAUUUGUCUUUUUAUAUAUGAAUUCUGACUUGGCCAAUGUUUUGUGGCCUCGCCAAUCAUUUGGCCAUAUUCCUUGUUUCACUGGAUUUAUAAAAGUAGCAGAGCUCGGGGUAACAGAGGUCAUCGCAAUAUCCCGAUAUCUGGACAACUGCUGUUACCUUCAACCUAUUUCGAUAAAGAAUUAUGGAAAAUGUCAUUAUUUAUAUUGUCUAUGAAUAUUUAAAUAUUUAAAGUGGAGAUGGUUUGGACAAAAGUAGUGUCUGUUUUUGAGUCAUUGCUCAUGGUUUGUUUCACAGUUGAUUUUAUUUUAUUGAAAAGUGAAGUAUCUACUCGUGGACAUAGUAUGAUUUUUAGUUAUCACUUUCAGUUUUGGCCUUCGCGCAUAGAUGUAUAAAAUUGUUAACGCCGCAACUGCACCAGUCUGCUUGUUUUAUUAGCAUAUUUCUUUCUUCUAGAAGGGAUAGAAGUCAGUAUUUCAGUUGAGAUUUUCUGUAAGCAAAGGUGAAGAGGUAUUGCGUAUCAAUAAGGCGAUGCUCUUUGUAAAAACAUGUCCUUUUGCUUAGUUUUCCCAAAUUGUGCCUGAGAAGCAUGUCAUACCUCGAGUGCUCCAGAGUGGCGCAGCGGGUCUAAGGCACUGCAUCUCAGUGCUGGAGGCGUCACUACAGACCCUGGUUUGAUUCCAGGCUGUAUCACAACCGGCCAUGAUUGGGAGUCCCAUAGGGCGGCGCAGAAUUGGCCCAGCGUCGUCCGGGUUUUGCUGGGUUAGGCUGUCAUUGUAAAUAAGAAUUUGUUCUUAACUGACUUGCCUAGUUAAAUAAAGAUGUUUUUUUUAUUUUUUUUUACGUACUUCAUGUUUCACUGAAUGCGGAUUUAGAAAUAUUAGCAGGCGCCUUCAACACUUGGACCACAGCUUAGUUAAUGUAAUGUCCUCAACACGUUUUUCUCAUUGAAGAAAUUUACUGUAUUUAAAAAAUAUAAUUUGUAGUGUGUUAACACAGCAUGGUGAUGAGGCUUGUCUAGUGUACACAGAAUUCACUCAUUCUGUUGAAAGAUUCCAAGAAGCGUUGUUGAAAUUGACUGCAUUUUUGUACAGUAACGAAAUAAUUUUUAAGUACGAAAUCCCAUAAUCCUCACCCUUCUGAAGAACUGUGUGAACUGCCUUGACUCAAAUCCUGGUACAGCAUUUUUGCAUACUUGUGACCUAUUUUGUAGUUGAACUUAUAUAAAUAUACAUGCUGUA